rnacentral:rRNA from 1 species
UUUUGACCGUGCAAAGGUAGCGCAAUCACUUGUCUUUUAAAUAGAGACCUGUAUGAAUGGCUAAACGAGGGCUUAACUGUCUCCCCCUUCAAGUCAGUGAAAUUGAUCUAUCCGUGCAGAAGCGGGUAUAAAAAUACAAGACGAGAAGACCCUUUGGAGCUUAAGGUACAAAAUUCAACCACGUCAAGAAAUUCAAUAAAAAACAAAAACUUAGUGGAUUAUGAACUUUUACCUUCGGUUGGGGCGACCACGGAGGAAAAACAAGCCUCCGAGUGGAAUGGGUUAAAUACCUAAAACUAAGAGAAACAUCUCUAAGCCACAGAAAAUCUGACCAAAAAUGAUCCGGCUUAAUGCCGAUCAACGAACCAAGUUACCCUAGGGAUAACAGCGCAAUCCUCUCCCAGAGUCCAUAUCGACGAGGGG